rnacentral:ncRNA from 1 species
AAAUAAAUAUUUAUGAUUUAUAUAUUUUAUUUUAAGUUUAAUUUACAUAUAAAUUUUAGUAUGAAAUUUAUUGUAUUUAAAUAAUAUAAUAAUAAAGUAUAUAGUAAUUAAAAUUAAAAAUUUAAGAAAUUAAGAUUUAGUAAUACAUUAAAUUAAAUAACAAAUUUUGUGCCAGCAGUUGCGGUUAUACAAAAAUUUAAAUAAAUUUUAUUAGUUAAAAUAAAUAAAUUAAAAUAAUAAAUUAAAUUUAAAAUUAUAAGGUGAAAUUUUAAUUUUAAUAAAAUUUAUAAAUAUAUUAUGAAAUUAAAAAAUUUUAUUAAUAAACUAGGAUUAGAUACCCUAUUAUAAGAAAAUUAAUUAAAAUAACUAAAAUAGUAUGUAAUUAUUUAUUGAAACUUAAAUAAUUUGGCGGUAUUUUAGUUCAUUUAGAGGAAUCUGUCUAGUAAUUGAUAAUCCACGAAUAAUGCAUAUUUAAUUUAAAAUUUUAUAUAUCGUUGUUAAAAAAAUAUUUUUUAUAAAAAAUAAUAUUUUAAAAUUAAAAUAAAAAAUUAAUUCAGAUCAAGAUGUAGAUAAUAAUUAAAGUAAGGAUGGAUUACAAUAUAAUUAUAUAAAUGAAUAAUAAAUUUGAAAAAAUUAUUUGAAAGUGGAUUUAAAUGUAAUUUUAUUUAAUUUAAUAAAAUGAUUGAAAAUUAGAAUAUGUACAUAUUGCCCGUCACUUUCAUUUAAAAAUUGGAAUAAGUCGUAACAAAGUAGGGGUACUGGAAAGUGUUCCUAGAAAGA